rnacentral:misc_RNA from 1 species
GAAUGAUACUUUGUCUAAACGAGUCCCCGGUUUUGGCACCACCAUGAACAUCCUCUAUGGUGACAAUGUCUGUAACCAAGGUGAUAUUGACUCCAUGAACAACAUCAUCUCACACUACCUCUAUUACCUCGACUUGAUGGGCAUUGGUCGGGAGGAGGCAGGGCCUCACGAACUACUCACCUGCGCGGAACAAAAACCUUUCAAUCCAUCUUCCUCCCCUGCUGCUUCUUCUUGAUUAACUCAUAUGGGAUUCUAGACAUCCUAGCUAUGAUUGCUGAACAUCCAAUAAGUGGAGCAAGAUAGACGUUGUCGUCCAGCUCCCGGUGUAAACUGUCUGUUUGGGUGUCAUAUAUAUAAGGAUUAAGGUUGUGUUGCCCCUUUCUUGUUGUGUCUUAUUGAAGUGAAUCUUGAUCAGUGCAAUACAUGCAGUGUGUGUGAAGCUUUAGUCUGUAAUAAUCUUUGGUUUAGGCGCAUGUCACGAG